GGGGGAGGGGGGCAUUUUAUUUGGUAUACAGGAAAGCAUUUUGACCGCAGUUCAUAAGAGGAAGAAUGUUUUUUUUUAUUUGUAUUUAAUUAUUUGGUGAGACUAUAAUAAUCAGGUGCAAAAAUCAUUUGCUUUUAGAUUUGCGUGAAAUAGCUUUUGUCUACAUUGGAAAUAUUCCUAACCGUGUCUGUAAAGGGAGCGUGUGUGUGUUUUUCGUUUGUUUGUUUGUAUAUUUUUUUUGUAAUUUGAGUGUUAAGUUGGUUAUGAAGACCUAAUUUUGAAUGAAUACUCCUUUGCAUGAUUUUGACUGCCUAGACGGAAUAGUGUGUCUUCGUAUAAAAGACGCCACUGUGCAGAAACGUCUAAAUGACGCCCUUGGACAUAAUGGCUAGACAUAGGAAAUGCUUUCUAAAAAAAGUUGCAAAGUCAUGAUGUUUGUGAAAAUACCCGAUUCAUUUGACCAUUGUUAUGAACUUAUAGUCUGCAUCUUUUAAAUAUGCUAACAUUACAUUUUAAGUGCAUAUUUUUUAUUUAUAUCACAUAUUUCGAAUAAGGAUUUGAAACAAAUAACGUUUGGACAUAGUGGCUAGACAUGCGAUUUAUUAAAAUUCUGCUUCAUAAAAUAGUUUUUUUUACAUUUGAAACUUUG
rnacentral:lncRNA from 1 species